rnacentral:lncRNA from 1 species
AACAUAUAACAAUGUCACCCAAAAGAUCAUGGAACAAGCAUAAAUUAUAGAUACGUUUGGGACGUAUCACACGUGUAGAUGCUUCCAUGUGAAAACAUGCAUAUUCUUUUGAAUAUCACCAUAUUAUUGUUGGGGAACAUCGCACGGGAAACAAAAAAAUUCUACUCUCACCUAGAACAAUCUAGGGGGACCAACAUCUACAAGAGGGGGAGUGCAUCUACAUACCCUUGUAGAUGCUAAACAGAAUCGUAUAAAACGAGGUUGAUGUAGUCAUACAUCUUCACGAUCCAAUCGUAAUCCAUCCCGAUCUAGCACCGAACGGACGGCACCUCCAUGUUUAGCAUACAUACAGCUUGAUGACGUCUCAUCCUUCUUGAUCCAGCAAGAUAGGAAGGAGAAGUAGAUGGGAAAUCAACCAGCACGACGACUUGGUGGACAUGAUGGUGGAGCAUUGCAAGCAGGGCUUUGCAAAGCACUGCCGGAACCGAACCGAGGAGAGAACGAAGUUAUGGGAGAGGUAGAACUGCCACCGGG